rnacentral:misc_RNA from 1 species
GAUGAAGAACGUAGCGAACGUGCGAAACGUAAUGUGAAUUGCAGAAUUCAGUGAAUCAUCGAAUCUUUGAACGCAUCUUGCGCUCCUUGGUAUUCCGAGGAGCAUGCCUGUUUGAGUGUCGUGAAUACUCUCAACUUCAACCCUUUUUUCGGAAAGGGAGGAAGGUUGGACUUGGGUGUUUGUUGAAGUGCGAGCUUCGACUCAUCCUAAAUGCAUUAGCGAUCUGCCUCGAUCACACACAACGUGAUAAUUAAAACUAAAGCAUUGUUUAAUGAUCAAGUCGAGACUGCUUCUAACUGUCGCAAGACAAUAACGUGCAUACAUUUGUGCAUGUCAUUUGACCUCAAAUCAGGUAGGACUACCCGCUGAACUUAAGCAUAUCAAUAAGUGGAGGA